GAUGAACGCUAGCUACAGGCUUAACACAUGCAAGUCGAGGGGCAGCGAGAGUGAUAGCAAUAUUACUUGUCGGCGACCGGCGCACGGGUGCGUAACGCGUAUGCAACCUACCAUCAACAGGGGGAUAACACUGAGAAAUUGGUACUAAUACCCCAUAAUAUCUCAUGCGGCAUCGCAUGGGGUUGAAAACUCCGGUGGUUGAUGAUGGGCAUGCGUUGUAUUAGCUGGUUGGUGAGGUAACGGCUCACCAAGGCGACGAUACAUAGGGGGACUGAGAGGUUAGCCCCCCACAUUGGUACUGAGACACGGACCAA
rnacentral:rRNA from 1 species